UAUAUAUGGAAGAUUGUUGGUGCCUUAAUAAAUUUUUUCUUAUUUUUCUUGGAGUGUUCUUAGGUGUUUGAGACACUAAAAUCCUUCUCCACAUCCAAGAGUCAUUUUUAAAAAUUUUUAAGAUACAAAAAGGUGAUUUUGGUGUGGACUAUUGGUGCCCUUCCUUUGAAAAACCCUAAUUUCUAGUCUAUAAAAAGGGAUCCUCUUUCUUAGACAUCCCAUGAUCAAUUUUCUUGCUAUUUUUUGAUUUUUUUAGAGCUCUUCUCCUCCUUCUCUUUUUCUCUUAUAGAUCUUUGACUGCUUUGGAGUAUCCAAGGUGCUUG
rnacentral:lncRNA from 1 species